rfam:Lacunisphaera limnophila strain IG16b chromosome, complete genome.
GACACCCUGCAGUGUUCGAGGUGCCUUAAUAUACGCUCUUUGCCUUUGUAAUCAUUUGGGAGCUGCCAACAGCCGUGUGGAUGCCAGGCCGUAAACCGGAAGGCUGAAGUGCGGCGGGCGGCGCCCACCUUUAACUUAAAAAGGACAUGAGCCCAAAGGCGCACGGCACAGGCGGGGUGUCA